rnacentral:rRNA from 1 species
CUCGCCUUGAUAUAUAGGCAUGGAAUAAUAAUAUAGGAUCUUGGUUCUAUUUUGUUGGUUUCUAGAGCUGAGAUAAUGAUUAAUAGGGAUAGUUGGGGGCAUUCGUAUUUACCUGUCAGAGGUGAAAUUCUUGGAUUGGUUAAAGACGAACUACUGCGAAAGCAUUUGCCAAGGAUGUUUUCAUUGAUCAAGAACGAAAGUUAGGGGAUCGAAGACGAUCAGAUACCGUCCUAGUCUUUACCAUAAACCAUGCCAACUAGAAAUUGGACGUCGUUUUUUUUAGAAUGCCUUGACCCCCUUAGAAAAAAUCAAAUCCUUUGGGUUCCGGGGGAAUAAGGGCCCCAGGAUUAAACCUUAAAGGAAUUGACGAAAGGGCACAACCAGAAUGGAAGCCGGCGCCUAAUUUGACUUCACCACGGAGAAACUCACCAGGUCCGAACUAAUAAGGGAUUGACGAAUGGUUACUUCUUUCUGGAUCCAUUGGUUGGUGUUGCAGGGCCGUUCUAAGUUGUUGAAUUGAUUUGUCUGCUAAAUUGCUUUACCAAACGAGACCUUAACUGGCUAAAAGCCCGCGCCAACCUCCGAAUAGCCGCCCAACUCUCUUAGAGGAACUUGUUGUUUUCACCGUAGGGAAUUUGGAGGCAAAACAGGCUGUGAUUGCCCUUAAAGUUUCGGGCUGCCCCCCCGCCCUCACCUGAUGCGUUCAACAAGGUACCACCUUUGCCCGAUAGGUUUGGUAAAUCUUUGAAAACCCCCAUCUGGAUGGGGGAUAGAUUAAUGGCAUAUUAUUCUCCACCGAGAAAUUCCUUAGUAACGGCUGGA